rnacentral:rRNA from 1 species
CUUGUAAAGAUAAUAUAGGGAGUCGGACCUGCCCGGUGAAUUUUUUUAACGGCCGCGGUACUCUGACCGUGCAAAGGUAGCAUAAUCAUUUGCCUUAUAAUUGAAGGCUAGUAUGAAUGGUUUGACAAGAAUGGAGCUGUCUCUUUACAAUUUGGUAGAAUUUUAUUUUUAGGUGAAAAAGCCUUGAUUUAAUUAAUAGACAAGAAGACCCUAUCGAGCUUAAAAGGAUUUAGUAGGAUAAAGUGACUUAUUAAUCAAGAAGGUGUUACUGCUAAAAUUUUUGGUUGGGGCGACUGAGGAACAUUAAAAGCUUCCUUUAUAUAGAUUUACAUACGAGUGUUGAUCCAGGGCUAGUGAUUGAAGGAAUUAGUUACCGUAGGGAUAACAGCAUUAUCUUCUUUGAGAGUUCUUAUCGAAAAGAGGGUUUGUGACCUCGAUGUUGGACCAGAAUGUCCUAAAGAUGCAGAAGUCUUUAAGGGUUGGUCUGCUCGACCAUUAAAAUUCUA